AUCAGUGAGUCAAUGUCUCGCUCAUUCUUGGCAUACAGCUUGAUGUCUUCCAUGUAGAAUAGGUGGCUGAUAGUAGCUCCAGUUUUGAACCUGUAUUCGUAUCCACCCUUCUUGAUGAUCUGGCUGAGGGGGUUGAGGCCUAUGCAGAACAGCAUUGGGGAUAGCGCAUCACCUUGGUAUAUGCCACAUUUAAUGUUCACUUAAGUUAUCGUCCUGGAAUUGGCUUCUAGAGUUGUUUUCCACUUGCCCAUCGAGUUCUUGAUGAAGGCUCUUAUUGUCUUGCUGACCUUGUAGAGAGCCAAGCAUUCCAGUAUCCAUGCGUGUGGCAUUGUGUCAUAGGCUUUCUUGUAGUCAAUCAAGGCCAUACACAGAUUGGUCUGUCUGUUCUUAGAAUCUCUUGUGACUGCUUGGUCUACCAGUAGUUGGUGUUUGAU